rnacentral:lncRNA from 1 species
GUUCGGGCAGUUAAGUAGAGAGGCUCCUGUUUAUCUUUCUUACUCACUGAUAGAAACACCGCCUGAGAGAAGUAGCAGGGACCUGCAGUGACACAGCACAGAGCCAGUGCUAGACCGCAGGUCUCCCUGAUGACUUCCAACUUCCACUGCUGCUCACUGCCUCCUCAGGGAAGAAGUAACAGAGAAAGGAGGUGAAGAGGAGGAGCCCUCCCGGACACCAGUGUCUCUCUCUUUUGCAGCCCAGCAUCCUGUUGCUACAGUGGAACCAUGUGGAAACAUAUAAAAGGAAG